AAACAACCUCCUCCCUCUUGACAUGUCCCUCCCUUUCAUUCCCUCUCUCUUUUUCUCACACCCUUCGUUCUCAGACAAACAUUUCUAAGAGUGAACAUAAUGUUUGUGGUUUAAACGGGACAGUCUGCCUCUUAUGACAGCAUCAUCCGAUAACAGCAACAGUUCACCCAACGAACGUGGAAUAUACAGAACAACAAUCUACAAUAACAGUCAUGCGUCCCAGGUCCAGAUUACAGGCUAAACGCGGCCUUCCCACCAUCAGGGAGGGCUAUGAGGAGCUGGUGCAGGACCUGAACCAGACCAACAGCCAGCACACCACCACACAGGACUACUUCCUUUCUAUCUGCCAUCUGGCCCGGCCCACCUUUCCUCUGCAUGAGCCCGACUGUGACAUCCUCUCCAUCGGCCCUUUGGAUUCUCCAAAGCCCUGCCUACGACUGCAACGCCUGCGUCAGCAUCUGCAGCCUCCGCAGCCCCACACCUCCACAAGCAGUGAUGAGACAGAUGAACAAGCCCAUAAAGAGAAAGAUACCACCAGAUCUGCUCCGUCAGAACCACUGCAGGCCCAGGCUGCCCCAGAGGAGGACAACGGAUGCAGAGGUGACAUCCCAGGCCCGGCAGAUCCACUGGAGUAUCUCUAUAGCCACAGAGGUGCACUAGCGCUCUCCAGCAGACGGGGCAGCAUUCCCCCGCGCCGGCCACGCAGUGACACCUUCCCAUGCUGUUCCUCGGCGCCUGAUGUCCAGCGGAAAAGCAGCUGCCCAGAGCUUUGUCUGCCUGAAACGGUCCCUGCGGUGAUGGUCCUGCAGCGGUCACCACUCAGCAGGAAGAAGCUGGAUGAAGGCAGCCUGGCUGCACGCAGUGGCAUUCCCAACAAGCUUGACGGCACCCCUGCUGGUUGGAGGGGAAAGAGCAGUCGUUGCAUGGACAAACAGACUAUAGUGUCCCACUGGAUCUCAGAGUGCCGCAGCGCAUGGAAGGAAGCCCGCAUUCGCGCAUGCAUGCUGCCCGCCAUUGCUGAGAAGUAAUCUACGGCUGCAAAAAUCUCUUUCCAGUGAGGGUGAAUAUCACGUAGAGUAACAUGGAUUAUUGUGAAAUUAUGACUUUGCACUUCAGGUUUAUAUGCAUAUACAUUUUUGAUGUAUUUUUAAACUUGUGACCCUAUCGAUGGUGCCGUGUCGAUACCACACCAUAGUGUAGAGUUACAAUGAAUGUCAAUGAUGAAUGAGUCAGUCUAGUAAUGUCCAGUCGUGAUCAAUAAAUGCAUUGAUUGUUGGAUGCCUUUAACAUUGUUUGGUGAGGUUUAAAAAUAAAAAGCAACAUUUAAAUUGCAGUUUAAUAUACAAAAAUCAGUGUAGUUUAAAGGAUACAGCAAUGCAUAAUAUUCAUAAAUAAGAAUCUCACUGCAUGUGUCCACAGCUAUAUUUGGCUGGGAAGACCCAGGUUUUAUCAAAUUUGCAUAUUAGGCAGCCAGUGAUGCAGAAUGAAUAUGCCAUGCUUCCUUGAAAUAUUGUCAAACAUCUUAUGACAUUUCCAAGAUUUUUGGGAAACGGGUUCAGCAAACAAUCUGACUAGGAUUAGGAUGCAUUUCCACCACAAAUAUGUUCAGAGAUAUUAUGUCCAACUGUUAUUUCUAUAUAAUGUCUCAAACAAUUGCUUCUUUGUUCACAUUAAUAGAUUGGUAUUUUGCAACAGAAUGACUAAGGAAACAAGCUUUUAUAAUUCACUACCGCCUUCUGACAACAAAGACAAAAUUAGUCAUCGUGUUUGUUUUCUGGCCCUUGUUUUGCAAUUUAAAAAAUAGAGUGAACUGGAUAGUCCUGUUGGAGGAUAAAUGAUUGAAUGUCCUGGUUAGGAAUCACUGUUGUUCAACAAACGACCAUACAAUAAAAAUAAAAAAAAAUCUGACCUACAUCAUCUUGAUAUUCAGAACUAUGGCAAAAGGCUAAAGUACACCUGCACUGUUAUCAUGUAAGACUGUUUGUACACACGCAGAAAAUCCUGUUUUCUCUGCUUUGAUUUGGUGUUUCAGUAUUUUAAGAUCGUCUUACUGUUAAAAGAUUAAUUAGUAUGGCUGCAUGUGAAUUUGUAAAUUUUGUAUUAUGCAUAUGAAAUUUCUUUAAAUUAUUAUAACGUAUGUAAUGAUUUCAGAGAAAAUGUAUAUUACACUAUAUGAGAACCCAUACCCGUACAACCCCCCCCCCACCACACACACACACAAUUUUUUUAAAUGAAUAAAAUGUCUGUGUUUUAUGUAUGAAUUCUGUGUGUUUUAUCCCCCGUUCCUUCAAGUAUAUUAAAAAUUACAAUGAUUCUUCUGAUAAAGGCUGUUAACCUGAUGACUUUCAGAAUCGAUUUAAAUCAAUUUUAUUGAUCCAUGGGAAAAAGCUAAUGAAUAUUAUGGUUUAGCAUAAUGUCCUAUACUGUAAUUUCAAAUUAAUUUUUUUUUUUUACAGUGAUAAGAAGCUUCGGUUUGGAUAGUAAUUUGAAAUAAUAUUUGUAUA
ensembl:lncRNA